GACGAACGCUGGCGGCGUGCCUAAUACAUGCAAGUAGAACGCACAGUUUAUACCGUAGCUUGCUACACCAUAGACUGUGAGUUGCGAACGGGUGAGUAACGCGUAGGUAACCUGCCUGGUAGCGGGGGAUAACUAUUGGAAACGAUAGCUAAUACCGCAUAAUAUUAAUUAUUGCAUGAUAAUUAAUUGAAAGGUGCAAUUGCACCACUACCAGAUGGACCUGCGUUGUAUUAGCUAGUAGGUGAGGUAACGGCUCACCUAGGCGACGAUACAUAGCCGACCUGAUGGGGUGAUCGGCCACUAUGGAAAUGAGACACGGCCCAGACGCCUACGGGGAGGAGCAAUAGGGAAUCUUCAGCAAUGGGCGGGAGUCUGAGCGAGCAAGGCCGCGUGAGGGUAGAAGGUUUUCGGAUCGUAAAGCUCUGUUGUAAGAGAAGAACGGGUGUGAGGGUGGAAAGUACACACUGUGACGGUAUCUGACCAGAAAGAGACGGCUAACUACGUG
rnacentral:rRNA from 1 species